rnacentral:lncRNA from 1 species
CUGCUGGGAAGGGUGGUUAUGGGUAGUCUCAUCUCCAGUGUGUGGAGUCAGCAAGGCCUGGGGCACCAUUGGCCCCCACCCCCAGGAAACAGGCUGGCAGCUCGCUCCUGCUGCCCACAGGAGCCAGGCCUCCUCUCCUGGGAAGGCUGAGCACACACCUGGAAGGGCAGGCUGCCCUUCUGGUUCUGUAAAUGCUUGCUGGGAAGUUCUUCCUUGAGUUUAACUUUAACCCCUCCAGUUGCCUUAUCGACCAUUCCAAGCCAGUAUUGGUA